UUGGAGGCUCGAGACGUAAGCCCGGGUAAACGGCAGCAGUAACUAUAACUGUUCUAAGGUAGCGAAAUUCCUUGUCGGGUAAGUUCCGACCCGCACGAAAGGCUGAACGACUUGGCGACUGUCUUAAAGAGAGACUCGGCGAAAUUGCAGUGGCUGUGAAGAUGCGGCCAACUUACACCAGGACAAAAAGACCCCGUGGAGCUUUACUGCAGCUUGGCAUUGAUUUGGAUUUUGAGCUAGUGUAGCGUAGGAGGGAGUCAGGUACCAUAUGGUACCUGACAACAAUGAAACACCUCCCGGUUUGAUGUUCAAAUCUUACUGUAUGUCCUAAUAAAUAACGGGAUGCAGAACAGUGUCUGGUGGGCAGUUUGACUGGGGCGGUCGCCUCCUAAAAGGUAACGGAGGCGUACAAAGGUCGACUCAAGUCCUACAGAAACGGACUGUUAGCGUGCAAUGGCAUAAGUCGGCUUGACUGUGAGUGGUACAUCACGAGCAGGUGCGAAAGCAGGUCAUAGUGAUCCCACGAUCCGGCGUGGAACGGACGUGGCUUAACGGAUAAAAGCUACCCCGGGGAUAACAGGCUUAUCUUCCCCAAGAGUCCAUAU
rnacentral:rRNA from 1 species